rfam:Apaloderma vittatum contig57951, whole genome shotgun sequence.
GGCUGGUUAGCUCAGUCGGUAGAGUGUAGCGCUAACAACGCUAAGGUCGCAGGUUCAAUUCCAUUUGGUCC